GGCACCGGAAGUGACCCUGGCGGGUUUGUCUUCAAAUUCUCGGCGAGCAGGAGCCGCGCCGGCAGGUGGUGUUGACGAUUGAACUGGGCAGUACUGGGGCCGUGAGCGGAGAGCAAAGUGGGCUGGACUGGGUCAGGCCCUCCUUCCUCGCUGCCGGGACCUCCACUCGGCCAAUCCCCUGUGCCUGGCGUUGGGCGGUUUCCCGAGAAGCUUGGGCCGCCGCAGACCCUCACCAGGACCUAGAAAACGCCAAUCUUCUCAGUACAGUGACCCUAAAUCACAUGGUAAUCGUCCAAGUACAACUGUCAGAGUUCACCGUUCAUCUGCACAGAAUGUUCACAAUGACAGAGGGAAAGCUGUUCGUUGUCGUGAAAAGAAAGAACAGAAUAAAGGAAGAGAGGAAAAGGGAUGAUAUCGCUGAUUUAGUAGAAGCUAAAAAGUUGCUUAAGGAAGCUGUAGUGUUACCAAUGUGGAUGCCCGAAUUCUUUAAGGGCAUUAGGAGACCAUGGAAAGGAGUACUGAUGGUCGGCCCACCUGGCACAGGGAAGACGCUCCUUGCUAAAGCAGUAGCUACAGAAUGCAAGACAACAUUCUUCAAUGUCUCUUCAUCAACUUUGACUUCCAAAUACAGAGGAGAAUCUGAGAAGCUUGUUCGUCUUCUGUUUGAAAUGGCUCGAUUUUAUUCUCCAGCCACCAUAUUUAUUGAUGAGAUAGACUCCAUCUGUAGUCGCCGAGGGACUUCUGAAGAACAUGA
rnacentral:sRNA from 1 species